GACGAACGCUGGCGGCGUGCUUAACACAUGCAAGUCGAACGGAAAGGCCCUGCUUUUGUGGGGUGCUCGAGUGGCGAACGGGUGAGUAACACGUGAGUAACCUGCCCUUGACUUUGGGAUAACUUCAGGAAACUGGGGCUAAUACCGGAUAGGAGCUCCUGCUGCAUGGUGGGGGUUGGAAAGUUUCGGCGGUUGGGGAUGGACUCGCGGCUUAUCAGCUUGUUGGUGGGGUAGUGGCUUACCAAGGCUUUGACGGGUAGCCGGCCGGAGAGGGUGACCGGCCCCAUUGGGCCGGGGUUCCGGCCCGGACCCCUCCGGGGGGCAAGGGGGGGGAAUUUUGCACAAGGGGCGGAACCCUGAGGCAGCACCCCCGCGUGCGGGAGGACGGCUUUGGGUUUGUAACCCGUUUUCGCCUGGGACGAAGCGGGGGUGCCGGUAAUGGGGAAAGAAGCCCCGGCUACCUACGU
rnacentral:rRNA from 1 species